rnacentral:rRNA from 1 species
UGGGGAAUAUUGGACAAUGGGGGGAACCCUGAUCCAGCCAUGCCGCGUGUGUGAAGAAGGCCUUAUGGUUGUAAAGCACUUUAAGCGAGGAGGAGGCUCUUUUGGUUAAUACCCAAGAUGAGUGGACGUUACUCGCAGAAUAAGCACCGGCUAACUCUGUGCCAGCAGCCGCGGUAAUACAGAGGGUGCGAGCGUUAAUCGGAUUUACUGGGCGUAAAGCGUGCGUAGGCGGCUUUUUAAGUCGGAUGUGAAAUCCCCGAGCUUAACUUGGGAAUUGCAUUCGAUACUGGGAAGCUAGAGUAUGGGAGAGGAUGGUAGAAUUCCAGGUGUAGCGGUGAAAUGCGUAGAGAUCUGGAGGAAUACCGAUGGCGAAGGCAGCCAUCUGGCCUAAUACUGACGCUGAGGUACGAAAAGCAUGGGGAGCAAACAGGA